GUAGUCCACGCCCUAAACGAUGUCAACUAGUUGUUGGGACUCUAUAGUCUUAGUAACGUAGCUAACGCGAGAAGUUGACCGCCUGGGGAGUACGGUCGCAAGAUUAAAACUCAAAGGAAUUGACGGGGACCCGCACAAGCGGUGGAUGAUGUGGAUUAAUUCGAUGCAACGCGAAAAACCUUACCUACCCUUGACAUGGAUGGAAUCCUGUAGAGAUAUGGGAGUGCUCGCAAGAGAACCAUCACACAGGUGCUGCAUGGCUGUCGUCAGCUCGUGUCGUGAGAUGUUGGGUUAAGUCCCGCAACGAGCGCAACCCUUGUCGGUAAUUGCCAUCAUUUAGUUGGGCACUUUACUGAGACUGCCGGUGACAAACCGGA
rnacentral:rRNA from 1 species